GAUCCUGGCUCAGGAUGAACGCUAGCUACAGGCUUAACACAUGCAAGUCGAGGGGAAACGACAUCGAAAGCUUGCUUCCGAUGGGCGUCGACCGGCGCACGGGUGAGUAACGCGUAUCCAACCUGCCCCACCACUUGGGGAUAACCUUGCGAAAGUAAGACUAAUACCCAAUGAUAUCUCUAGAAGACAUCUGAAAGAGAUUAAAGAUUUAUCGGUGAUGGAUGGGGAUGCGU
rnacentral:rRNA from 1 species